UACGUAGGUGGCAAGCGUUAUCCGGAAUUAUUGGGCGUAAAGCGCGCGCAGGCGGUCCUUUAAGUCUGAUGUGAAAGCCCACGGCUCAACCGUGGAGGGUCAUUGGAAACUGGGGGACUUGAGUGCAGAAGAGGAGAGCGGAAUUCCACGUGUAGCGGUGAAAUGCGUAGAUAUCAGGAGGAACACCGGUGGUGUAGACGGCUUUCUGGACCGUAACUGACGCUGAGACACGAAAGCGUGGGUAGCAAACAGG
rnacentral:rRNA from 1 species